rnacentral:lncRNA from 1 species
GUGCUCUUGGUGCCCCCCCCAACAUGGCGGCGCCCAGGCCAGCACACAGCCGCGCGCGCGCCGCCUCCCCGCGCUCUGAUUGGCCGAGCGCUGCCCCGCGCCGGCCGCCGAUUGGUCGGGGCGCGGAUCACGUGGUGGGCCGGAAAGACGGCGCGGUUGCCGCGGCAACGGGGGCGGGGCUAAAGGGGCGGGGGGUCACGUGAGCGGCGCGCGGCCGGCGGCGACUUCCGGGAGAGAAACGGAACCGAACUGGGACAAACUGGGAGAGAACUGGGAGAGAAUUGGGCCAGGAUCCCGGCUGCUGUUUGGGUGUCCCGGCUGUUCCCGGCUGUUCCCGGUGCCGUCCCGGUGUCCCGGUGCUGUCCCGGUGCCCGCCGGUGCCGAUGCCGCUGCCGGUGACGCUCCAGUCCCGCCUGGCCAAGCGGGGGCUGCUCAAACACCUGGAGCCCGGUGAGGGGCGGGGCCGGGAAAAUGGGCGGGGCCGGGAGAAAUGGGCGGGGGCGGGGAAGUGGGCGGGGCCGGGAGAAAUGGGCGGG